rnacentral:rRNA from 1 species
AUACCAGCUGGCUGCAACUGUUUAUUAAAAACACAGCACUGUGCAAACACGAAAGUGGACGUAUACGGUGUGACGCCUGCCCGGUGCCGGAAGGUUAAUUGAUGGGGUUAUCCGUAAGGAGAAGCUCUUGAUCGAAGCCCCGGUAAACGGCGGCCGUAACUAUAACGGUCCUAAGGUAGCGAAAUUCCUUGUCGGGUAAGUUCCGACCUGCACGAAUGGCGUAAUGAUGGCCAGGCUGUCUCCACCCGAGACUCAGUGAAAUUGAACUCGCUGUGAAGAUGCAGUGUACCCGCGGCAAGACGGAAAGACCCCGUGAACCUUUACUAUAGCUUGACACUGAACACUGGUCCUUGAUGUGUAGGAUAGGUGGGAGGCUUUGAAGUGUGGACGCCAGUCUGCAUGGAGCCAUCCUUGAAAUACCACCCUUUAAUGGCUGGUGUUCUAACGUGGACCCGUUACCCGGGUUGCGGACAGUGUCUGGUGGGUAGUUUGACUGGGGCGGUCUCCUCCUAAAGAGUAACGGAGGAGCACGAAGGUUAGCUAAUCCUGGUCGGACAUCAGGAGGUUAGUGCAAAGGCAUAAGCUAGCUUGACUGCGAGAGUGACGGCUCGAGCAGGUGCGAAAGCAGGUCUUAGUGAUCCGGUGGUUCUGAAUGGAAGGGCCAUCGCUCAACGGAUAAAAGGUACUCCGGGGAUAACAGGCUGAUACCGCCCAAGAGUUCAUAUCGACGGCGGUGUUUGGCACCUCGAUGUCGGCUCAUCACAUCCUGGGGCUGAAGUAGGUCCCAAGGGUAUGGCUGUUCGCCAUUUAAAGUGGUACGCGAGCUGGGUUUAGAACGUCGUGAGACAGUUCGGUCCCUAUCUGCCGUGGGCGCUGGAGAAUUGAGGGGGGCUGCUCCUAGUACGAGAGGACCGGAGUGGACGCAUCACUGGUGUUCGGGUUGUCAUGCCAAUGGCAUUGCCCGGUAGCUAAAUGCGGAAGAGAUAAGUGCUGAAAGCAUCUAAGCACGAAACUUGCCCCGAGAUGAGUUCUCCCUGAGACUU